rnacentral:rRNA from 1 species
ACGCUGGCGGCGUGGAUAAGACAUGCAAGUCGAACGAGAGAAUUGCUAGCUUGCUAAUAAUUCUCUAGUGGCGCACGGGUGAGUAACACGUGAGUAACCUGCCCCCGAGAGCGGGAUAGCCCUGGGAAACUGGGAUUAAUACCGCAUAGUAUCGAAAGAUUAAAGCAGCAAUGCGCUUGGGGAUGGGCUCGCGGCCUAUUAGUUAGUUGGUGAGGUAACGGCUCACCAAGGCGAUGACGGGUAGCCGGUCUGAGAGGAUGUCCGGCCACACUGGAACUGAGACACGGUCCAAACACCUACGGGUGGCAGCAGUCGAGAAUCAUUCACAAUGGGGGAGACCCUGAUGGUGCGACGCCGCGUGGGGGAAUGAAGGUCUUCGGAUUGUAAACCCCUGUCAUGUGGGAGCAAAUUAAAAAGAUAGUACCACAAGAGGAAGAGACGGCUAACUCUGUGCCAGCAGCCGCGGUAAUACAGAGGUCUCAAGCGUUGUUCGGAAUCACUGGGCGUAAAGCGUGCGUAGGCUGUUUCGUAAGUCGUGUGUGAAAGGCGCGGGCUCAACCCGCGGACGGCACAUGAUACUGCGAGACUAGAGUAAUGGAGGGGGAACCGGAAUUCUCGGUGUAGCAGUGAAAUGCGUAGAUAUCGAGAGGAACACUCGUGGCGAAGGCGGGUUCCUGGACAUUAACUGACGCUGAGGCACGAAGGCCAGGGGAGCGAAAGGGAUUAGAUACCCCUGUAGUCCUGGCAGUAAACGGUGCACGCUUGGUGUGCGGGGAAUCGACCCCCUGCGUGCCGGAGCUAACGCGUUAAGCGUGCCGCCUGGGGAGUACGGUCGCAAGAUUAAAACUCAAAGAAAUUGACGGGGACCCGCACAAGCGGUGGAGUAUGUGGCUUAAUUCGAUGCAACGCGAAGAACCUUACCUGGGCUUGACAUGUAAUGAACAACAUGUGAAAGCAUGCGACUCUUCGGAGGCGUUACACAGGUGCUGCAUGGCCGUCGUCAGCUCGUGUCGUGAGAUGUUUGGUUAAGUCCAGCAACGAGCGCAACCCCUGUUGCCAGUUACCAGCACGUGAAGGUGGGGACUCUGGCGAGACUGCCCAGAUCAACUGGGAGGAAGGUGGGGACGACGUCAGGUCAGUAUGGCCCUUAUGCCCAGGGCUGCACACGUACUACAAUGCCCAGUACAGAGGGGGCCGAAGCCGCGAGGCGGAGGAAAUCCUGAAAACUGGGCCCAGUUCGGACUGUAGGCUGCAACCCGCCUACACGAAGCCGGAAUCGCUAGUAAUGGCGCAUCAGCUACGGCGCCGUGAAUACGUUCCCGGGUCUUGUACACACCGCCCGUCACAUCAUGGAAGCCGGUCGCACCCGAAGUAUCUGAAGCCAACCGCAAGGAGGCAGGGUCCUAAGGUGAGACUGGUA